UACAGAGGGUGCAAGCGUUAAUCGGAAUUACUGGGCGUAAAGCGUGCGCAGGCGGUCUUUUAAGUCAGAUGUGAAAUCCCCGGGCUUAACCUGGGAACUGCGUUUGAAACUGAAAGGCUAGAGUGUGGCAGAGGGGGGUGGAAUUCCACGUGUAGCAGUGAAAUGCGUAGAGAUGUGGAGGAACACCGAUGGCGAAGGCAGCCCCCUGGGCUAACACUGACGCUCAUGCACGAAAGCGUGGGGAGCAAACAGG
rnacentral:rRNA from 1 species